rnacentral:rRNA from 1 species
UACGGAGGGGGCUAGCGUUGUUCGGAAUUAUUGGGCGUAAAGGGCGCGUAGGCGGCCGUAUAAGUCUGAUGUGAAAUCCCUCGGCUCAACCGGGGAACUGCAUUUGAAACUGUUCGGCUCGAGUCCGGGAGAGGGUAGUGGAAUUCCCAGUGUAGCGGUGAAAUGCGUAGAUAUUGGGAGGAACACCGGUGGCGAAGGCGGCUACCUGGACCGGUACUGACGCUGAGGCGCGAAAGCUAGGGUAGCAAACAGG